CUGUACUAAUGCUAUUGUUAAUGUUGCAGUGGAGAACAGAACUCUGAAAGGCAACAGAGAAAUAAAGUACAGAACUUGAGGUCAACCUUCAACCACAACUUUUUUUCCCGUGGUGCCUCUCACUGUUUUUCUUUCCUUCCCCCACAGAGCAAGUAGCAAAAUUUUCUCUGCAAGUGUCAGACCACAGCCACUACUUUGGAUGGCGUAAAUCAGAAAGCAUCUGCAUGUUGUUCAUGGGAAGGAAAACCCAGAGCAGGAGACAGUUACUACAGUAUCCAUUCUGCAAGAGGAGAUGACACAAUCUGAGCUCAGUCAUUAACUGACAACAGAGAACUUCAACAGAAAAGCUGCAAAAAACAUGCAUCUGCACCUUCGUGAGCCCUGAGCAGCCCCCACAAAAGACAGUUCUGAG
ensembl:lncRNA